rnacentral:rRNA from 1 species
UACAGAGGGUGCAAGCGUUAUUCGGAGUUAUUGGGCGUAAAGAGCGCGUAGGUGGUUCGAUAAGUCUGGUGUGAAAUCCCUGGACUCAAUCCAGGAAGUGCAUUGGAUACUGUCGAACUAGAGUACAGGAGAGGUAAGCGGAAUUCCAGGUGUAGAGGUGAAAUUCGUAGAUAUCUGGAGGAACAACAGUGGCGAAGGCGGCUUACUGGACUGUAACUGGCACUGAGGCGCGAAAGCGUGGGGAGCAAACAGG